AAGCCCUUGGAAAGAGAGUUAAAAGUACGUGAAAUUGUGAAGGGAAGCGCUGCAACCAGACUUGCUCGCGGUUGCUCAGCCGGUGUUCUCACCGGUGCACUCUUCCGCGAUCAGGCCAGCAUCGGUUUGGGCGGCUGGAUAAAGGCUCUGGGAAUGUGGCUCCUCUCGGGGAGUGUUAUAGCCCAGGGUGCAAUGCAGCCCGCCCGGAUCGAGGACCGCGCUUCGGCUAGGAUGCUGGCGUAAUGGUUGUAAGCGACCCGUCUUGAAACACGGACCAAGGAGUCUAACAUCUAUGCGAGUGUUUGGGUGUCAAACCCAUGCGCGUAAUGAAAGUGAACGGAGGUGAGAACCCUUCAGGGUGCAUCAUCGACCGAUCCCGAUGUCUUCGGAUGGAUUUGAGUAAGAGCAUAGCUGUUGGGACCCGAAAGAUGGUGAACUAUGCCUGAAUAGGGUGAAGCCAGAGGAAACUCUGGUGGAGGCUCGCAGCGGUUCUGACGUGCAAAUCGAUCGUCAAAUUUGGGUAUAGGGGCGAAAGACUAAUCGAACCAUUAGAAGCUUGUACGCGGCAGACUCGAUCUGCCGCCGCUGCUAGGUGGUCAAGAGGCCGCUAAAAGGGCGGGCCUAGUCCUGCUCUCCAGGGCGACAUUGUCAAAUUGCGGGGACAUCCUAAAGAUGCUGCUACCAAGCAGGCGUGGAAACACGGCCUGUGGCCGGGGUAAUGACCUAGGGUAUGGUAAAAACGUAGCGUAUGAUCCCGUCCGUGGGUGAAAUGGAUAAUCCGCAGCCAAGUCCUAAGUCUCCCGGGAGAUAUGGAUGCUGUUCACAGACUAAAUGGCAAUGGGUUCACCUCCCCGAGGUGGGCUUAAGAUAUAGUCGGGCCGCCCAGAGAUGGGUCCGGUAGGAGGAAGUCCCUAAGACGUGAGAGGCAUUGGUUGACAAUGCGCCUUAGGGACCCGAGCCUGCCGGGAGCCGACGAGAGUCGGCU
rnacentral:rRNA from 1 species